rfam:Triticum urartu cultivar G1812 contig208072, whole genome shotgun sequence.
CAAAUACUCGCUCCGUUCUGAAUUACUUGUCUUAGAUUUGUCUAAAUACGGAGGUAUCUAGCACUAAAAUGAGUCUAGAUACAUCCGUAUCUAGACAAAUCCAAGACAAGUAAUUCGGAACGGAGGAAGUAGGUG